GGGGAUGUAGCUCAAACGGUACAGCGCUCGCUUUGCAUGCGAGAGGUACCGGGUUCGAUGCCCCGCAUCUCCA
rfam:Citrus sinensis cultivar Ridge Pineapple sweet orange scaffold00016_contig_185, whole genome shotgun sequence.